AGUGGCGUUGAGAGCUCAGAGCUUGCUACAGGGCUACAGUGCUCCAAAGCCCUUCAGGAUUCACUUUGGAUACAGCUCUUUGGAGCCUGCCAGCAAUUAGAAAUCUUUCUCUCUCACAGACAAAUCAUGACUGGAAUUCAUCAUGGAGAAAAUGUCAGCCACAGAGAAGAAGCAUUUAGCAUGUUUGAGCACGGUCAUGAAAUAGUCAUCACUACAUCAGUGAUGCACAUUAAGCAGAAUGUAGCUGUGCUCUUGUGGAUGUGCUCUCUCAUCCUGGACUGGAUAAUCACAUGGAAGGCCUGUGCUUCACUCUCCCUAGAGAAUGAUUUGCAUCAGUAGGUUAUAAUUUAGGAUGUGUAAGAAUUGCCUAAAACACUGCUGGAAACUUCCCUAAGGCUCUGGAUCACACACGGAGGGUUGAGAAACAACUACAAGCCAAGGACCCUUAAAAGAUGUGGAAGCACCAAGAAAAGAAAAAAAUAAAAGAAAGAAAGAAAUUCAUCAAAACGAAAAUGUACUGCCAAGCGAAAAGCUUAAAAGUUUAAAACUUGACUCUUCAAAGUUGGGGAGAAAAGCAAAUAACAGGGAACUUUGGAACACUUAUCUUCAUUUGCACGGAGACAUUUUCUCACACACGUGGAUUUUCUGGCUUCAGUGUUUGUCCAGUACUCACAGAGUUAAAUCUUAACUUUUCCUAUAUAUGAGUAAUGCAUUAAGAACAGAGCACAGGAAGUCUCCUUAAAAACCAAGAAAUAUUUCUCUGUGAAUUAUUCAUCAUCAACAUAUUGGGACUAUUGUAAAUAAAAAGAGGGGUGUGUCCAGCUCCUAGUGGUCCUUGGGCAAUAAGACCACAUUGAAUGAAUACGUAGAAUGUGCUGUCUGUGCACUGCCACUCAUUUCUCUUUUAAGUUAGAGACUAGACCAGAUGGAACUAUGCAUUAAUUGCUGUUCUGCUCAUUGGAGAAAACAAUAUCCCGCAGUAUUGUUGGACUCUUUGCAUUGUAUUAUAAUAUAUUUUAACCUAUUUUGAAGACAAUGGUAGUACUACCAAGUAUUUUACCCACUUUUAAAAUCUAUAAUCUAAAUAUAUCCUGACAUUUAUUUUUAUCAAACUGUUUUGAAGCUAAUCUUACCAUCUUAUUCCCUUACUUGUCCAAACGUUCAAUAAAAUUUUUGACAGGUUUUCAUCUU
ensembl:lincRNA A830029E22Rik RIKEN cDNA A830029E22 gene